ACAAUUAGAAUACAAGAAGUUUUUAAUUUAGCUUUUUGUAACUGGUCUUAAACAAAACCCCAAAGAUUUUACAUUUUAUCAAGACAAUUCCUACGUUGUCUUUAUUAGGUUUUUGAUUACUUAGAAAAACUGAGCUUUGAAAGGGUUAAAGUUUUCAUAUCCAUGAAAUUUUCUGUAUUGUUUUUGAAGCCUUUUGAUUAUCACUCUGGUUAAAUGAAUAACCAUGAUUUUGACAGCUUUAAGAUCAAUGGAUUAAAUAAAAAUUUCAAGAACUCUAAUAAAGAAACUGAUGGACUCAUAAAACUAUUAAUUGGUCCCUCUCCCUCUCCCUCUCCCUCUCCCUCUGUCUCCCUCUCCCUCUCCCUCUCCCUCUCCC
rnacentral:lncRNA from 1 species